rnacentral:misc_RNA from 1 species
GAUGGAAGAACGCAGCGAAAUGCGAUAAGUAAUGUGAAUUGCAGAAUUCAGUGAAUCAUCGAAUCUUUGAACGCACAUUGCGCCCGUCAGUAUUCUGGCGGGCAUGCCUGUUCGAGCGUCAUUACGCCCCUCAAGUCCCCUGUGGACUUGGUGUUGGGGAUCGGCGAGGCUGGUUUUCCAGCACAGCCGUCCCUUAAAUUAAUUGGCGGUCUCGCCGUGGCCCUCCUCUGCGCAGUAGUAAAACACUCGCAACAGGAGCCCGGCGCGGUCCACUGCCGUAAAACCCCCCAACUUUUUAUAGUUGACCUCGAAUCAGGUAGGACUACCCGCUGAACUUAAGCAUAUCAAUAAGCGGAGGA